UUCGCCUGUUGAUCAAAAACAUCGCCCUUCGUAUAAUUUUAUGAGGGGUUGGACCUGCCCGGUGAUUAGUCAAAUUUUGAAGUUAUUGAAUUAAUUAGAGAUUUUUUUAAACGGCUGCAAUUAGUAGUUGUGCUAAGGUAGCGUAAUCAUUUGCCCCUUAAUUAGGGGAAGGUAUGAAUGGUUUGACGUGGGAAAAGCUGUCUCUUUUAUAUAAAAGGAAGUUUAUUUUUGAGUGAAAAAGCUUAGAUGUUUAUAAAAGACGAGAAGACCCUAUCGAACUUGAAUUAUGUAUUAUAGAUUUUUAAUAUAGAAAGUUUAGUUGGGGAAACUUAAAGUUAAGAAAAACGCUUUUUUGUUGUAAAAUGAUCCUAUAUUAUAGAAAAAUGAAAAAGUUACCGUAGGGAUAACAGCGCUUUCUUCUCUGAGAGGACUAAUCAAAGAGUUGGUUGCGACCUCGAUGUUGGAUUAAGGUUUUCUUUUUGGGGUAGGAGUUAAAAUAGUAAAACUGUUCGUUUUUUAAAACCUUA
rnacentral:rRNA from 1 species